GUGUGAGCUUAGCCGUGUGGUUACUUCGUAAAACUGAACUCUCUCGAAUUCUUCCUACCCUAACACCGCUGGCGCUGUCUCACACUUUU
rnacentral:vault_RNA from 1 species